UACGAAGGGGGCUAGCGUUGCUCGGAAUUACUGGGCGUAAAGCGCACGCAGGCGGUCUUCCAAGUCAGUGGUGAAAGCCCGGAGCUCAACUCCGGAACUGCCAUUGAAACUGUAAGACUUGAGGAUGAGAGAGGUGAGUGGAAUUCCCAGUGUAGAGGUGAAAUGCGCAGAUAUCAGGAGGAACACCGGUGGCGAAGGCGGGUCUCUGGGCCGAUACUGACGCUGAGGAGCGAAAGCGUGGGGAGCGAACAGG
rnacentral:rRNA from 1 species